rnacentral:rRNA from 1 species
AUUGAACGCUGGCGGCAUGCCUAACACAUGCAAGUCGAACGGUAACGCGGGGACAACCCUGGCGACGAGUGGCGGACGGGUGAGUAAUACGUAGGAAUCUGCCCAUUAGUGGGGGAUAACCCGGCGAAAGCCGGGCUAAUACCGCAUACGCUCUACGGAGGAAAGCGGGGGAUCGCAAGACCUCGCGUUAAUGGAUGAGCCUACGUCGGAUUAGCUAGUUGGUAGGGUAACGGCCUACCAAGGCGACGAUCCGUAGCUGGUCUGAGAGGACGAUCAGCCACAGUGGGACUGAGACACGGCCCAGACUCCUACGGGAGGCAGCAGUGGGGAAUAUUGGACAAUGGGGGCAACCCUGAUCCAGCAAUGCCGCGUGUGUGAAGAAGGCCUGCGGGUUGUAAAGCACUUUCAGAGGGGAAGAAAAAAUCGGAUCUAACACAUCUGAGCUUGACGUUACCCUUAGAAGAAGCACCGGCUAACUCCGUGCCAGCCGCCGCCGUAA